CGCCUGUUUAACAAAAACAUGUCUUUUUGAAUUAUUUAAAAAGUCUAACCUGCCCACUGAAUUAUUUUAAAUGGCCGCAGUAUCCUAACUGUGCAAAGGUAGCAUAAUCAUUAGUCUUUUAAUUGAAGGCUGGUAAGAAUGGUUGGACGAGAUAUUAACUGUUUCAUAAAAAUUUAUAAUAGAAUUUUAUUUUUUAGUCAAAAAGCUAAAAUAAAUUUAAAACACGAGAAGACCCUAUAUAUCUUUAUAUUUAGAUAAUUACAAUUUUGUGGAUUUUUUUUGUUGUGAUUGUUGAUAAUAUUUUAUUGGGGUGAUAUUAAAAUUUAAAAAACUUUUAAUUAAUUAAAUCAUUAAUUUAUGAAUAAUUGAUCCGUUAUUAACGAUUAAAAAUUUAAGUUACUUUAGGGAUAACAGCGUAAUUUUUUUGGAGAGUUCAUAUCAAUAAAAAAGAUUGCGACCUCGAUGUUGGAUUAACACAUAUAUUUUGGUGUAGUCGCUAAAAUGUUAAGUCUGUUCGACUUUUAAAUUCUUACGUGAUCUGAGUUCAGACCGG
rnacentral:rRNA from 1 species